UGGGGAAUAUUGCACAAUGGGGGAAACCCUGAUGCAGCAACGCCGCGUGAGUGAAGAAGUAUUUCGGUAUGUAAAGCUCUAUCAGCAGGGAAGAAAGUGACGGUACCUGACUAAGAAGCCCCGGCUAACUACGUGCCAGCAGCCGCGGUAAUACGUAGGGGGCAAGCGUUAUCCGGAUUUACUGGGUGUAAAGGGAGCGUAGACGGCACAGCAAGUCUGAAGUGAAAUCCCCGGGCUCAACACGGGAACUGCUUUGGAAACUGCUGGGCUGGAGUGCUGGAGAGGCAAGCGGAAUUCCUAGUGUAGCGGUGAAAUGCGUAGAUAUUAGGAGGAACACCAGUGGCGAAGGCGGCUUGCUGGACAGUAACUGACGUUGAGGCUCGAAAGCGUGGGGAGCAAACA
rnacentral:rRNA from 1 species